GUGGCGAAAGCGCCCUACUGGGCCAUAACUGACACUGAGGGACGAAAACUAGGGUAGCGAAUGGGAUUAGAUACCCCAGUAGUCCUAGCCGUAAACGAUGGAUACUAGAUGUUGUCUGUAUCGACCCAGACAGUGUCGUAGCUAACGCGUUAAGUAUCCCGCCUGGGGAGUACGCACGCAAGUGUGAAACUCAAAGGAAUUGACGGGGGCCCGCACAAGCGGUGGAGUAUGUGGUUUAAUUCGAUGCAACGCGAAGAACCUUACCAGGGCUUGACAUGUCGCGAAUCUUCGGGAAACCGGAGAGUGCCUUCGGGAACGCGAACACAGGUGGUGCAUGGCUGUCGUCAGUCUCGUGUCGUGAGAUGUUAGGUUAAGUCGCAACGAGGCAACCCUCGUCCUUAGUUGCCAUCAUUAAGUUGGGCACUCUGGGGAGACUGCCGGUGACAAACCGGAGGAAGGUGGGGAUGACGUCAAGUCAGCAUGCCCCUUACGUCCUGGGCGACACACGUACUACAAUGCGACGGACAAAGGGCAGCGAACCAGCGAUGGUCAGCUAAUCCCACAAACCGUGGCUCAGUUCAGAUCGCAGGCUGCAACUCGCCUGCGUGAAGGCGGAAUCGCUAGUAAUCGCCGGUCAGCAUACGGCGGUGAAUUCGUUCCCGGGCCUUGUACACACCGCCCGUCACACCAUGGGAGCUGGUUUAGCCCGAAGUCGUUACCCUAACCUGCAAGGGGGGGGGGACGCCGAAGGCUGGGCUGGUGACUGGGGUG
rnacentral:rRNA from 1 species